UACAGAGGGUGCGAGCGUUGUCCGGAAUCACUGGGCGUAAAGGGCGCGUAGGCGGCCUGAUAAGUCGGGGGUGAAAUCCUGUGGCUCAACCACAGGGCUGCCUCCGGGACUGUCGGGCUCGAGCACAGUAGAGGCAGGUGGAAUUCCCGGUGUAGCGGUGGAAUGCGUAGAGAUCGGGAAGAACAUCGGUGGCGAAGGCGGCCUGACUGGGCCUGUG
rnacentral:rRNA from 1 species